rnacentral:rRNA from 1 species
AGUGAACGCUGGCGGCAGGCCUAACACAUGCAAGUCGAACGGAAGCACAGUAAGAGCGUGCCCUUACGGGUGGCGAGGGGCGGACGGGUGAGGAAUACAUCGGAAUCUAAUUAUUCGGGGGGGAUAACGGGGGGCAAGUUACGCUAAUACCGCAUACGACCAACGGGAGAAAGCAGUGGAUAAACGGAGCUUGCGCGACUGAAUGAGACGCUGCCGCAUUAGCUAGUUGGCGGGGUAAAGGCACACCAAGGCGACGAUCCGUAGCUGGUCUGAGAGGAUGAUCAGCCACACUGGAACUGAGACACGGUCCAGACUCCUACGGGAGGCAGCAGUAGGGAAUAUUGGGCAAUGGGCGCAAGCCUGACCCAGCAAUGCCGCGUGAGUGAAGAAGGUCUUCGGAUUGUAAAGCCCUUUUAUUAGGAAAGAACAACAGCAGAUUUAUCCCCCGCCGUUCUGACGGUACCCAAUGAAUAAGCACCGGCUAACUUCGUG